UGAAUACGAGAUGCUACGGCGUCGAAGCAGUCUAUGUCAUACUUCCAAGAAAAGCUUGCACUGUCAUAAACAAAUAAUGCCUGUACCAUAACCGACACAGGUGGGUAGGUAGAGUAUACUAAGGGGCGCGAGAUAACUCUCUCUAAGGAACUCGGCAAAAUGACUCCGUAACUUCGGGAGAAGGAGUGCCUUAUUUAUAAGGUUGCAAUAACAAGAUCCAAGCAACUGUUUACCAAAAACACAGGUCUCCGCUAAGUCGUAAGACGAUGUAUGGGGGCUGACGCCUGCCCAGUGCCAGAAGGUUAAAGAAGUUGGUUAGCAUCCGCGAAGCUGAUAACUGAAGCCCUGGUGAACGGCGGCCGUAACAAUAACGGUCCUAAGGUAGCGAAAUUCCUUGUCGGGUAAGUUCCGACCCGCACGAAAGGCGUAAUGAUUUGGAUACUGUCUUGGAGAGGGGCUCGGUGAAAUAGACUUGUCUGUGAAGAUGCGGACUACCUGCACCAGGACAGAAAGACCCUAUGAAGCUUUACUGUAACCUGAAAUUGAAAUUGGACUUUACUCGCGCAGUAUAGGUGGGAGGCGUUGAGAAUAUUCUUGCGGGAUUAUUGGAGCCAUCAGUGAGAUACCACUCUUGUAAUGUUAGAUUUCUAACUUUGUAUCAUUAUCUGGUCAAAGAACAGUUUCAGGCGGGCAGUUUGACUGGGGCGGUCGCCUCCUAAACGGUAACGGAGGCGCACAAAGGUUUCCUCUGAACGGGUAGAAAUCGUAUCUAGAGUGUAAAGGCAUAAGGAAGCUUGACUGUGAGACCUACAAGUCGAGCAGGGACGAAAGUCGGUCUUGGUGAUCUGACGGUGCUGAGUGGAAAGGCCGUCACUCAACGGAUAAAAGUUACUCUAAGGAUAACAGGCUGAUCUCCCCCAAGAGUUCACAUCGACGGGGAGGUUUGGCACCUCGAUGUCGGCUCAUCGCAUCCUGGGGCGGUAGUACGUCCCAAGGGUUGGGCUGUUCGCCCAUGAAAGCGGUACGCGAGCUGGGUUCAGAACGUCGUGAGACAGUUCGGUCCAUAUCCGGUGUAGGCGUUAGAAUAUUGAGAGGAGCCUUCUUUAGUACGAGAGGACCGAGAAGGACAUACCUCUGGUGUACCAGUUAUCGUGCCAACGGUAAACGCUGGGUAGCUAUGUGUGGAGUGGAUAACCGCUGAAAGCAUCUAAGUGGGAAGCCCACCUCAAGAUAAGUAUUCUCAUC
rnacentral:rRNA from 1 species